rnacentral:rRNA from 1 species
AUACGGAGGAUCCGAGCGUUAUCCGGAUUUAUUGGGGUUAAAGGGAGCGUAGGCGGAGGAUCAAGUCAGCUGUGAAAUGUAGACGCUCAACGUCUGCACUGCAGUUGAAACUGGUCACCUUGAGUGCAUAAGGGGCAGGCGGAAUUCGUCGUGUAGCGGUGCAAUGCUUAGAUAUGACGAAGAACUCCGAUCGCGAAGGCAGCUUGCCGGGCCGCAACUGACGCUGAAGCUCGAAGGUGCGGGUAUCGAACAGGAUUAGAUACCCUGGUAGUCCGCACAGUAAACGAUGGAUACUCGCUGUCGGCGAUAUACGGUCGGUGGCCAAGCGAAAGCGUUAAGUAUCCCACCUGGGGAGUACGCCGGCAACGGUGAAACUCAAAGGAAUUGACGGGG